rnacentral:lncRNA from 1 species
GCGCGACCCCGCUGCGGUGGGAGCCGGACCCAGGCAGCCACGCCCACCAGUCUUAAUGGGGGACACCAGAGGGGGCUAGAAUGGGGGGCGGGAUGCUGGUGACACCAGCGGUGGCUAGGAUGUGCUGGCACGGCCCUGGAGACACUUUUAUCUCAUUUAGUGACCUCAGGAUUUUCGUUUCGCUCCCCCAGCCUGCACUUUCUCCUCUUCGAACACUCGUCCACCCUGCUCCAGCCAGAGCUGCACCUUCUCCGACCCGGUAUCUCAAAAGGAGCUCGAACUCCUUUUCCUCUGGGGAGGAGAAAGAAUGGGUGGCCUCCGCGUCACUCUGUUUCCCUUCCUCCUCCUCAGUCCUGAUAGAAUCGAAGGGCUGCCCUUUUUCCAGAAACAUAAUAACUGCAUUCCAGCUGAUUCCGAUGGGGGCAGGGGGCGGAGUAGUGGAAGCCCAUUUUUAUUUGAAACCUAUCCCUAUAUUUUCCUUCCCAGGAACCCCUGGAUAAAGACCAGCUCAACCAUCGCUGAGAAAACAGACCUAGGCUUCCCAGGGCGGUUAACCCGCCGGCCUCUGGGCAGAGACUGUAAGUUGGGGUCGUGUUUGGGAGACUCGGGACCCUAUUUCCAAGGAGAACUGUGGGGGACAUGUUUAUGUUUGUUGUUUUCAAAAUCAAGCAAAGGAAACAACAGCCAAUUAAAAUGAAAUAUUUUUAUUCCCCUCGCACGUCGUCAGUGAUUUGCCCCCAGGGAUUCACAAUUUUCCCAAGCCUGUUAACGGGUGACAAUGAGUGAGUGCCUCCUGUAAUUUAAUUUUCCUGUCACACUAAAUAGAGCUACAUUGUAAACCUUAGAUCUACUCUUACUGAUAGGAUCGCCUUGUUUUGCCAUUUGCACCAUAAAGACCCCCAAAAGGGACACUGUAUUGUGACCUCUACUCUUGAAUUAUUCAAGAACUUAAUGACAUUUUCCAUUUUAAAAAGGGAACUAAUUGCCAUUGAUGCAAAGCAUGUGACCUUCUGCGGGUACCCAGUAUGAGAAUGUAACCAUCUGUAUGUGCAUAGAAGGCUGAAGAAGGCGGGUGCAAACAGGAAAAACACAUGCAAUCCUAACGAGCUCAAAAUGGACACUGGAAUCAAGCGUAGGGUUUAAUUUCACCCCAAACCGUGACGCAUAGCUCCACAAAAUUCCCUUCACCAGACCUAAAGUCUGCAUAAAACCUCGCAUCAAUUCAGGCUCGUUUUGGGGGACAUGACAUGACAUUUUAGCUAGGACUGGAACAUUAAAAAUUUUGAAAGCCAGUAUGCCUUUAUAAAUGUAAAAUCACUUUGAUGUCAAGCAAAAUAUCUAAUAAUUUGCCUCCCUUCUUUUGUGGCUCUUUAAAAUUAUUUAUUUCCUCAAAAAGGAAAAGAAAACCCCAUAAAUUGGGAUGGAACCGCAUCUCAGUAUUUGCUGUUUGAAUCAGUCUUGAGUUUCUAGGAAAGCCGUUAUUGAAAUUCUUCACUAACUAGAAUUAUCUCGCUUCAAAUUACUUGGAAAUGGAUGCUUAUCUUUUUUUUUUUUCAAAGAAAAGACAAAACAAAAUAAAACAACAACAAAAAACUCCCAGUGUGUUUCCUACUCUUCUUUUUCUUGGAGGAAAGCAAAGGGAGAGAAAUGGACUUCACCAGUGGUCUUUGGCUUCAUCAAUUCACAGGAAAUGGCAUCAAGAUGGUUCAACUAAGACAUGAUCACUAAAAACAUUAUAAUAAUACCUUUUUGAAAAACUCAGUUUCUCCUGUUUACUAAAUAUUUAUUUCAUCAACAUGGGCUGCAUUCCACUGUGUCAGGAUUCUGCAUGUGGGUGGAGCACUGUUCCGGCCUGAGAAGAUGGUUCUGAGGCCACUUAGCAAGACAUUUUCCAGCAUGAGCAGGUUUCUCUGUGGAAAUAGUGACACCUGUUCUGGUGUGUUGUCUUUCCUCAGGGAACUUAAGGGGUACUAAGCUCCUGAAAAUGUUCUUUAUGCUGGUUGAAGCUCUUAUGUCACUGUACUGAUUCCCUACGAUGCAGAUUUGAAUCACAGAGUAAUUAAAAUAUGGAUCAAAUAAGGCUGGGGUUCACCAAGGCUGAAAGCUGUAGCCAUUCAAGGCAUCAUUUCUGUCAUGAAAAUAUAGGACCUUUUCAAAACAUGCCUUCAGGAAGGUGUUCCCUUUUCAAACAAAAGUCUAAUGACUGCAUAACUCUUCUUGACCACAUCUUACACUUUCUCUAGACUUGCUUAUUUACAGCUACUGGAACAAAAAGAUGAAAUGAAUAAAGCACACUGAUUGUCCUAAGAGUCUUCUGUGACUAAAAGCACAUGAGCUUCUCCCCAGGCUGAGCUUUGACCCUCCCAAGCAUUUCCCCAAAGGCCAUGACACUGCAUCAGAUUGCUCCUGGACACUUUCCUCAGAGUUUUCAACAAAUAUAAACUGAGGAAUGGAGCACAGCACCAGAUUUGCUAAUCAAGAGGCAAUGGUCCCAGUCCAAAUGGGUGCUGUGUGUGAAUACAGAGCUCAGGAGAAGGGAAGGAGGUGUGUGAACAUCAGGAAUUGCAAAAUCUUGCUGAACCAAUAGACCAACAGCCAUUAACAUUUAUCAAUGCAAAGAUCCUAAAAUAUACAAGUGUGGAGUUGUCCUGCCCUAAGAGCUGAAGCUGUGACAAUCACGCUGCCAUGGUAGAUAUUUAAGCUCCCCUGAGGUUACUGAAUCUAACAAUGAAUAAACAAUGAAGAGUAGCUAAUUUUUGGAAAUCUCUUUCUAUGACCGGAAAAUAUUCACAAACUCAGAGUGAUUGUUUGGGGUGAAAGAUGGUCCCAUGCUUUGUGGGCCUCUCUUUGCUAUCUAUACAACGUUGGAAAUGAACCCCUCCCUUACAGGAAAGUGAAUAGCAACCAAGGUGAGCCCACCCUGGGAGGGCAGAGUGGGUGUACUUUCCUCUAAGAGCCCUGAAAACAACAGGGCACACAAACAGCCACAGCACCCUCAACAAUGCCCCACCAUCUGCCCACCAGGGCACACAGAUUCACGCAGAUUCAGUGACACAUUCCAAAAAAAGGGAAUUAGGGAGGACCCAUGGCAUGGCUAAUGGGGAGAGAGCUUUACUACUUUUAGCGCUAUUGCUAAUUAUUGGAGCAAAGAAAGGCAUACAAGGAAUGGAACCCAACCUGUUUAAAGUAAUAAAUGUCAACCCUAAAGUGCAUGGAACCAUCUCUCCUUCCCUUUUGAGGACUGUGUGCUUCACAAGCUGGGCGUUUGCUGCAUGGGGUUUUCUAAUGUAAUGUGAAUUUUCAAUGUGCUUUGUCUCUGUAGAGUGGCUUUAAAAAGCCCUUGAAGUCCUCAGCUUUAAAUCCAUGCUAAUAGGGGAAGUCUUUUUUUUUUUUUUUUGGAGGUGAGGAGCUUUGGUUGGGAGAAACAUUGACCCAGACUGCACUCUGGGUAAACUAGGGCAAAAGACCUGAUAUCGUCUGCAGGGUACUUAUUAACCACUGUUCAUUUGCAGGAUCAAUAUUUCCAGCAAAGGAGUCAACACUCAAGAUACACUGCUACGUCUCACUUUUUCCUUGACACAACAAUUUAUUUUAUAAAUGCAUCUGCUGGAGAAGAAAAGGCAGUACCAAGGAUUGUGUCUUUUAUCUCCAGGAUAUGCAAAGCGCAUUUAUUUUCAGCUUUUAUCUCUGGAAUUGUAUGUUGAUCCCAUACAUAUAGAUUGAUUUUG